UAUCACGCAGGUUUUAUCAGGCCUGCCCAGGCUGAAUGAUUCCAGACAUUGGGGCAAGGCUCUGGGGUUGACACCCACCAAACGCUGGAUCCUCCUCCAAGAAAAGUGCCCAGAGCACCUUUGCCAGCGGAGG